ensembl:lncRNA LINC01182 long intergenic non-protein coding RNA 1182
AGUGAAAGGAAAUGGAUAUCGCUGCUGGAGGCAACGACUAAUUUAAGCAGAGUAGGAGAAAAACUCUUUUUUUUUUUCCUUUGUGCCAGUUCCUUUUACACGACUUCAGAACAUUCUAUGACAACCCAGCGUGCAACUUGGCACUGUCAGAAGAGUCCUGGGAAAGAAAGGAAAUGCGAUUGGAGGAUGCCGUGGCAACAUUUUGUUAAGUACCACAGUCCCAGAGAAAUCACUGGAAGCAUGUUAUCGGAGGAACAGAUGGUUGGUGUCCCUCCUGGUCUAAAGAGAGGAAAGAAGAAAGAUGAGAGGGAAAGCUAAGAAAAGGUGAGAAGAAAGGGUCAGGAGGAGAAAUGCAAAGAGACUGGGAUAAUUUUUUGGACCAUACCUUCUCUGCUGGCAGCUUACUGUGACUGCACCAUCCAAAAUUUGGUAUAAGGAUUUGGAAAUUUGACCAAUAUUUCUUAGAAGGUAAUGAAAUACCUAAUUGUUUUCCUUCCUUUUCAGCCCCAUCACCAUUUGUUCAUUCAAAAUUCAAAAGGUAAAGAUGAUGCCAUUUUAUGCUUGUAUAUAGUUUAAUUGAGAUUGCCUGAUAUCUCACAACAUAUUAGUAAUCUAAUGACUAGUAAUUCCUCUCUGGAGAUCACCCCUAAAAGUAUACCCUAGAAUGUGAACCAAAAUUUAUGUUCUAAAUUUCCUGUCAAGUAAUACUAUGUAAAGAACAAAAACAGGAGGGAUAUCUUAAAUUCCAAUGAUAGAAGACUGAUUGACUGUAUAUUAAUACUUUGAAGUAGUAGAAAUAUUAUAGUUCAAUUGAAAAUGAUAUCUGUAAGUAUUGCUAAUGAUGCCAGCAUAGAUUUACUAUGAAAUGUUUUGUGAAAAUAAUUAAGAUACAAUUGUAUUAUGGGUAGCAAACACAGGAAAAACUAGAAAGAAUACUAACAAGUAAACUGUGAUUAAAUUUCUACGGUAUGUGUUGUCAUCUUUUUAAUUCUAUUUUUCCAUAUUUUUCAAAUUUUCUGUAUGUAUGCAUAGUAAUUUUCUAUUUUGAAGAAAUAGGUGUUAUCAUUUUUUGAAGAAUAAAGGAGGCAGAGCUUUUAAUUUUAUAAUCCAUUUCUUCCUUUUAGCCUUGCUACAAGGCUGAAAAAAUGUACAAGAAAAAUUUUCCUGUUGUUUCUGCCUUAUUUUUAUUAGAGCAAGAAAAAAAUGAAAACCCAAAAGUAAAAUGAUAACAUGAAGAAAAUGAUACGUUUCUUAGGUAUUUAGCUGAAAUAGAGGUAUAGAGAAAAAUAAUUGAUGAUUUUGGGAGGGUAUUUUUCCUAUGUCAAAAGGUAGAACUUGAUGAUGUCAUAGUAACUCUUGUUUUGGAAGUGCAUAAAUAUUCAAAAUAAAAAUUUUAAAUGA